AACGAACGCUGGCGGCAGGCUUAACACAUGCAAGUCGAACGCCCCGCAAGGGGAGUGGCAGACGGGUGAGUAACGCGUGGGAAUCUACCUGGAACUACGGAACAACUGAGGGAAACUUCAGCUAAUACCGUAUACGCCCUAUGGGGGAAAGAUUUAUCGGUUUCAGAUGAGCCCGCGUAAGAUUAGCUAGUUGGUGGGGUAAUGGCCUACCAAGGCGACGAUCUUUAGCUGGUCUGAGAGGAUGAUCAGCCACACUGGGACUGAGACACGGCCCAGACUCCUACGGGAGGCAGCAGUGGGGAAUAUUGGACAAUGGGCGCAAGCCUGAUCCAGCCAUGCCGCGUGAGUGAUGAAGGCCUUAGGGUUGUAAAGCUCUUUCAGUGGGGAAGAUAAUGACGGUACCCACAGAAGAAGCCCCGGCUAACUUCGUGCCAGCCGCCGCCGUAAUAC
rnacentral:rRNA from 1 species